rnacentral:rRNA from 1 species
AACGAACGCUGGCGGCAUGCCUAACACAUGCAAGUCGAACGAGACCUUCGGGUCGAGUGUCGCACGGUUGCGUAACGCGUAGGAACCUGCCAUUAGGUUCGGAAUAACUCCCCGAAAGGGGUGCUAAUACCGGAUAAUGUCUUCGGACCAGAGAUUUAUCGCCUUUGGAUGUGCCCGCGUUGGAUUAGCUAGUUGUUAGGGUAAAAGCCUACCAAGGCGACGAUCCAUAGCUGGUCUGAGAGGAUGAUCAGCCACACUGGGACUGAGACACGGCCCAGACUCCUACGGGCGGCAGCAGUGGGGAAUAUUGGACAAUGGGCGAAAGCCUGAUCCAGCACUGCCGCGUGAGUGAUGAAGGCGUUAGGGUUGUCAAGCUCUUUUAACCGGGAUGAUAAUGACAGUACCGGGAGAAUAAGCUCCGGCUAACUCCGUG